rnacentral:rRNA from 1 species
CCUUUCCCACUCUUUCCCACCCCACCGUGUCUGGCCACCUAGCGGCUAGCGGCUAGCGCUCCGACUCCCACGUACCCCACCCGCCCGCCAACAAGAUGGGCUCCGGCUCCGCACCGUCGCCUCUGUUCGACAGCUGCUCCAACGCCUGAUCUGAAAGGAACCGCUGCGACGGACGGGCGCGCGCGCGUGGCGAGAUGACGUGAACGCCUCCCCGAAAAAGGGUUUGCCGUCUGCAGAUAGACGCGGCGCCCCCCCGUUUACCUGCUUAUUUAUUGCUGCGGUGGCCGGUGAGGCGCGGGUCGGCGUAGCCGCUAGGCUCGACUCGCAGUCACAAUUGCUGUUCCGAUAGCACAAAGCCGCCACCGCAGGCAGCUCCAUACUGUCUUCCCAGUCUCCGUUACUGCUGCUAUCCGGCACGCGCCGGGGGUCAGGCGGCACAGGGAAAGUGCCGUGCCUGGUCACAGGACACUGGACGUCGUUGGGGAUCCGGAGAUGGAAGAAGCAGAUGGGAGUGGAGGAGGCAUCCGCUCCGUGCUGCCUCUCGGCUCGCUCAUCUCUCCGUCCGGGAACGAGGUGCUUCUCCACCAUGCUCCGUGCUUCUACUUCCGCUUUGGCUCUUAGUCAUCUUUAUUUUCUUUCUUCCUCGGUUUCAAGUUCCUUGCUGUUCUUUGGUUAAACCAGAAUGAUUUGCCUAGCUGGGUUUGAUUUCGGAUCUCUUAUUCUAUCACGCAAGGGUAGAUAUAACGGACGACGAAGUGGAUAGUACUCGUACAAUUCUUCUUAAUAUAUUUUGCGUUAAAAUCAGUCAGACAAAAGUUCAGAUUCUUCUUAGUAAUAGAUUUUGUGUUAAAUUCAGUCAGACAAAAAUUCAUAUUCCUAGUAUAUUAAAAAAAAAACUAGUCAAGAUCCAAUUUAAGAGUAGUUCAAGUUGGAACACUUUACGCGAAGUGCUUUAGGUCAGCUUGAACAAUCGAAAAAAGCUUUUCCUUCCAUCUGGUUUUCACGAUGAAGCUCUCUCAAACGAGGCAAAGCCAAGAAAAAUGAAGACGCUUAUCUGUACUUCCGUGCAUGUUCUUGAGCUCCUUCGGCUAGCUCCAACAAGUGCACGCCUCUCACGCUUUUUUAAUCUAUAAAGAAGUUCAGCUUAUGAAUUCUUUUACAAGAAGCUCACUAAGCAUCCCAAACAAACAAGAUCAAUAUACGUUGAUGUCACUUUUUACCUAGGAAAUAACACUAUGAAUUUUGGACUACAAAACUGAACUUGUAAUACUCAAAAACUCAUGCAGUUUCCGAUUAUUCUUUUUUAUACUAGAAGAUUAAUAUACUCCCUCCGUCCCAAAAAUAAGUGCCUUAAUUUUAUACUGAAACCGGCAUAUCAUCUUGAGAUUUACGAAGUCACCGUAGGAACCCUGGCGGGCUGGGGAUACCACAGUCCCUCUGACCAUCCAACCACAGAUUGGUUCGGAAAAAAAAAUCGCCUCACAUUUAUACGGUCUUCUUUUCCGGUGAACUAUUCCUUUCCCCUCUCUCUUGCCAAGUUGCCAUCAUUUUGCCCAUCAAAAAAAAAGUUGCCAUCAUUUUGUUUUCUUUUCUGUGAACGGUGAUCAUGACUCGCCUGAUGAAACCGGCGAACACGUGUCCCCUAACUAAUCUUCACAGGUGGAGCUCCCGGAGCUAGACGGCAAGAUCAUCGGCCUAUACUUCGCCGCCAACUGGUACCCCAAGUGCGAGGCCUUCACCCCGGCGCUGGCCGCCGCGUACGAGCAGCUCAGGGCGCGCGGCGCCGGCUUCGAGGUCGUCUUCGUGUCGUGCGACGAGGACCGGCCUUCCUUCGAGCGGUUCCACCGCGCCAUGCCGUGGCCCGCCGUGCCCUUCGGCGACCUCCGCUGCAAGAAGAGCCUCAGCGACAUGUUCCAGGUCGAGGGCAUCCCGCGCCUGGUGGUGCUCGCCCCGGGCGGCGCCGAGGUCGUCUGCUCCGACGCCGUCGAGCUCGUGCACCGCUACGGUGACCCGGCGUUCCCGUUCACCCCGGCCAGGGUGGCGGAGCUGGAGGCCGACGAGCGGAGCAAGUUCGCCUCCCAGACGCUGGAGAAGCUCUUCUCCGUCGGCCACGUCAACGGCGGCGACGAACAGCUGCUGGCCUCACCGUGGCUAAGGGCUGCAGGUCCCCAUCUCGAGCCUGGUCGGGAAGACGGUGGGGCUCUACUUCUCGGCGCACAGGUGCGAGCCGUGCGUCAAGUUCACCGCGAGGCUGGCCGCCAUAUACGGCAAUCUGAAGGGCAAGUCGGCGGAGUUCGAGGUGGUGUACAUCCCCAUGGACAAGGAGGAGGAUGGGUACGAGCGGUCGCGCGGCGACAUGCCGUGGCUGGCGCUGCCCUACGACGGCGAAGGCGUGCCGUCGCGGGCGCUGGCCAGGUACUUCGACGUGCGGGAGAUCCCGACGCUGGUGGUGAUCGGGCCCGACGGCAAGACGGUGACGAGGGACGGGAGGAACCUGGUGAACCUCUACUUCGACAUGGCGUUCCCGUUCACGGAGGAGCAGGUGAGGCGGCAGCAGGAGCUGGAGGACGAGGCGGCCAAGGGGUACGCGCCGUCGCUGCGCCACGCCGGGCACCGGCACGAGCUGAGCGUCGUGUCGGAGAAGUCGGGCGGAGGGCCGUACGUCUGCUGUGAGUGCGACGAGCAGGGGUUCGGCUGGGCGUACCAGUGCAUCGCCUGCGGCUACGAGAUACACCUCCGGUGCGGCCGGGACGUGGAAGACGGCGGCGCCGUGGGAGCUGGUCAGUAGGCCGGAGUACGGGACCGUAUUGUAUACCAUUAAUCUGAAUGUUGUGCGUGCGUGCUCUGGAAAAGGUCAUGUUGCUAUGACGAGAAAUGCCCAGUGUGGACUUGCUCUUGGCAAGUCUGAUGAUAGUAGAAUAGACGAGAAAUGCGCAGUGUAGCUUGGUCACGGCUAGCUAGCUGCAACAGAAAAGCAUCGCUGAAUUUGGGCUUCUACUUGUUUUGCUUCUCUUUUUAAUCUGCUCACCCAACGAUCAUUUGAUACUACAUUAGCUUCACCAUACUAUAACGUUCUAGCAGCAAGUGCCAGUAAUUCACUGUUCUAUUCUUC